AAAAGAGUGCAGUUCCCAUUAGCCUGUCACUUUGGGGCCUCCUGGAAGGGAAAGAAGAGCUUUCAAGACCUAAAGAUAGCCUUGCUAAAGAUUUUUCCCAGGACUUUUGUGCAAAUGAGAACUAUGAGGUUUGCAUAACAAUGACUGAGAUAAAUUGGGAAAAAAAUGCAGCCACUCACUGGAGAAAACCAACUCUCAUUAAUGGACGGGAUAAUUGCAAGACACAAGGCUGGGACCUAGCGGCCUUUUGUGUUAUCUCCUGUCAUCUGAACUGAAAAGUGCCUAUUCACCAGCCCGGUGAUUGGUGAUUGAGGGUGGCUUUACUGCUUGCCAGCUGGGUGAACCUCAUCAUGUUACUCAAGCCUUGAAGCCUCAGUUUUCUAAUCUCAUCUUUAAAAUGGGACUGUUACUGGGCCUCUUCUCAUGGAGAUACUGAAAAGUGAUCAAGCAGCCACAGUACAAGCCACAGGGACUGGAGCCUGCAGCCCUGAAAAGACUACAUGAAGAAGGAAGAGAAUCCUUUUAGCACACUGUCCAUGUGCGACUGGCUGGAGAAAGAGGUGAUAGAUAAUCACAUGUACAGAUAUCUAGUCUUUGAUGCUUCUUCACACAUCUCCGUCCUGGUGUGGCUCAUGUCCCUCCCCUGAAGCACUCUGUUCAUGUGUACUUCAUCAUUUUCUCUCCUAAGGCAAGGAUGUUUCUCUUUCUAAAUGGAAU